AACGCAUAUUGCGCCCUUUGGUAUUCCGAAGGGCAUGCCUGUUCGAGCGUCAUUAUCACCCCUCAAGCCCGGCUUGUUGUUGGACCAAGUCCCCGUCACACGGGACCGGUCCCAAAGAUAAUGACGGCGUCUGUUGGACCCUCGUACACUGAGCUUUCGGGCACGUACGUGGUUAAAGGACUCCAGACGACCGUUUAACCUUUGAGCGGCGAGUGCUCCGGCACUGGUCUCUCUUACUUUUCAGGUUGACCUCGGAUCAGGUAGGAAUACCCGCUGAACUUAA
rnacentral:misc_RNA from 1 species